AAGCCAUGUAAUAAACCUCCUUUUUCUGUCUUGAAGAAAAAAAGAGAAGAAGCUGGCAAUAGUGAUUGUAUGAAAUGAACCUUAAGGACAAUCAAAGUCAUUGAGGUCUCUGAAAAUGGCUACAACA
rnacentral:snoRNA from 1 species